GACAGAGGAUGCAAGCGUUAUCCGGAAUGAUUGGGCGUAAAGCGUCUGUAGGUGGCUUUUAAGUCCGCCGUCAAAUCCCAGGGCUCAACCCUGGACAGGCGGUGGAAACUACCAAGCUGGAGUACGGUAGGGGCAGAGGGAAUUUCCGGUGGAGCGGUGAAAUGGGUAGAGAUCGGAAGAACACCAACGGCGAAAGGCACUCUGCUGGCCGACACUGACACUGAGAGACGAAAGCUAGGG
rnacentral:rRNA from 1 species